rnacentral:rRNA from 1 species
GUCCACACCGUAAACGAUGAUUACUAGGUGUUGGAGGAUUGACCCCUUCAGUGCCGCAGUUAACACAAUAAGUAAUCCACCUGGGGAGUACGACCGCAAGGUUGAAACUCAAAGGAAUUGACGGGGCCCGCACAAGCAGUGGAGUAUGUGGUUUAAUUCGACGCAACGCGAAGAACCUUACCAAGUCUUGACAUCCUGCGACGAUGCUGGAAACAGUAUUUUCCUCGGGACGCAGAGACAGGUGGUGCAUGGUUGUCGU